GUAAUGUUUUAUUUGUUAGCAUAGCAUGAUAUUAGAUUUAAACACUUAAUACAUUUUUAAAUCAAUCACUUUGUCUCUGCACAAUGAACAUUAUCAAAUAUUAUUAAUGUUGUAAAAUAUAUUGUUCAUUGUUAGUUCAUAUUAGCUAAGGCAUUACCAAAUGUUAAGGAAUAAACUCUUAUAGUAAAGUGUUACUAAGUUUUCUUUUACCAUUUCCUUCACAAUGUCUACUUAUUUCUAUGGCUAACAGAUUUUGUAACAUUUGUCUUUUUUACAGUCUUACCAUUGCUUGUAAGCUGGAUUGGGUAAGAUGGAUCAUCUUUAAAGGCACCAGGCAAGUACAUGAUGUACAGUUACAAGUCAUGUAUUUUUUUGACUGCAAUAUUAAAUGCUUUCACGUCACAUGUAAAAGUACACAGGAAUGUGCUGAUCACUUUUUAUUUGUAGUUUACAUGAGUGUCAUUGCACUUUUCAGGAGUUAAGGCAGAUGUGGAGGCACAACGGGUGACACCAGACACACACCAAGCACAUUGUUCGGACAUUCAAUCAUGACAUGAUCCAUGUGGAUGCUGUCCAUUGAGGAAAGAGUUUGUUCAGCGGUUUCUGGAUAGAAUUAAUUCCAAAGAUGGGAAAAAGUGCACAUCCAGACAAGGAGCAAGCAAAUAGACAAGGAACUUGGUGCAGAGAAAAGCUGUGGCCAUUAACCCCUGUGAACAGCUUCAUGCAGUCCCUGAUUGAGUUCGAAUGGACGACUUCAAAGUAAAGGCCACUGUGGUCUGUCUGCCACAGUUUAAUUUUUAAUUUAUUUUUAGUGUUCAAUGAAAUUCAAGUAGAAUAUUUAAAACUAUGGGCCAGUGUUCUUUUUACCACAGUGAAAUGUUACCUUUUAGUCGAUGAUGGACUUUAAACUGAAAACUUCAAACUAUGGAACAGUGUUCUAUUUGCCAGAGUUAAAUAUGUUACAGCAGGGGUCUCCA